UACGAAGGGGGCUAGCGUUGCUCGGAAUUACUGGGCGUAAAGGGCGCGUAGGCGGUUUGUCCAGUCAGGUGUGAAAUUCCCGGGCUCAACCUGGGGGCUGCACUUGAUACGUAGGAACUUGAGUGGGGAAGAGGGUCGUGGAAUUCCCAGUGUAGAGGUGAAAUUCGUAGAUAUUGGGAAGAACACCGAUGGCGAAGGCGGCGACCUGGUCCUUGACUGACGCUGAGGCGCGAAAGCGUGGGGAGCAAACAGG
rnacentral:rRNA from 1 species